rnacentral:rRNA from 1 species
UGGUGGUGUGGAUCGUCUGGUUAAUUUCGUUAACGAACGAGACCUCGUCCUUGUGGUUGGGCCCAGCAAUGGGUUCGAUCUGCGUAACUAGUGCACCUCAAUGCAUAGUUGAGUGUGAAACUUCUUAGAGGGACUUUCGGUGUCUAGCCGAAGGAAGUUCGAGGCAAUAACA